rnacentral:rRNA from 1 species
UACGUAGGUGGCAAGCGUUGUCCGGAUUUACUGGGCGUAAAGGGCGUGUAGGCGGUCAGGUAAGUGGGACGUGAAAUGCCUCGGCUCACCCGAGGAGCGGCGUCCCAUACUGCUUGGCUUGAGUACGGGAGAGGAUGUGGGAAUUCCUGGUGUAGCGGUGAAAUGCGUAGAUAUCAGGAGGAACACCGGUGGCGAAGGCGCACAUCUGGCCCGAUACUGACGCUGAGGCGCGAAAGCUAGGGGAGCAAACGGG